AUGAACGCUGGCGGCGUGCCUAAUACAUGCAAGUCGAGCGAACAGACGAGGAGCUUGCUCCUCUGACGUUAGCGGCGGACGGGUGAGUAACACGUGGAUAACCUACCUAUAAGACUGGGAUAACUUCGGGAAACCGGAGCUAAUACCGGAUAAUAUAUUGAACCGCAUGGUUCAAUAGUGAAAGACGGUUUUGCUGUCACUUAUAGAUGGAUCCGCGCCGCAUUAGCUAGUUGGUAAGGUAACGGCUUACCAAGGCGACGAUGCGUAGCCGACCUGAGAGGGUGAUCGGCCACACUGGAACUGAGACACGGUCCAGACUCCUACGGGAGGCAGCAGUAGGGAAUCUUCCGCAAUGGGCGAAAGCCUGACGGAGCAACGCCGCGUGAGUGAUGAAGGUCUUCGGAUCGUAAAACUCUGUUAUUAGGGAAGAACAAAUGUGUAAGUAACUAUGCACGUCCUGACGGUACCUAAUCAGAAAGCCACGGCUAACUACGUG
rnacentral:rRNA from 1 species